AUCGAUUCACGAGGGUCCAAGCGAUUCCCACCCCUACUAGCGUCUCCCGCUGAUUGAUGGGUGGGUGGGGCUUUCCAGGGGAAGUGCCCAUAAAAAGAAGUGAUGCGUAUAGAAACCCCUGAAACGUCAGUUGGACCCAUAAUCGAAAAAAACUUUCCGAAACUUGUAUGAACCCUGGCAAAGUGCAUUCGGCAUAGAAAUACUCUGUAACACGCCCCAACUGCUUUUUUGACACUUUUUCUACGUUUAGCAUGAGGAAACAACUCUAUAACUGUGUUAAUAAGUCAGAAUGCAUGAAAUACCAUUAAACCACCCCUUUAAAUGGUCAAAUAUUAUUAAACAGACAAUGCAAGAAAAUGAUCAGCCCCUAUCUACUUUACUAACAAACAGAAAGACUGCUUUAUUACUAAUUUUGUCAAGGUUAUCUGUAAGAUCAAAGCCUUUAAAAACUAUUUUGCUUGUCUCUAUGUCUUAAAGCCAUUUGCAGUGGGGCUGUAGUCAGGGAAACCACUGAUCAGCUGCUAUUUUUGGUCUGAGGACAUUUGUGCAGCCAGAUAUUCCUGAAUGUAAGAAUUUCAUUUUUGAGCAGACACCUUAAGACAAAUUAUAGGUGAAUAUAAUGAAUUGUAUAAUGAUAUUUUUAGCAAGCCAUUAGUCUGGGUCAUGGAAAUGACAUAUAAUGAUGCUGAUUGGUUAGUUUGUUAACAUUAUUUCAAUGAGUGUAUGUGUUGCCUUAAAACUUAUUUAGAUCAUGUUGCCUUGCCUUUAGAAAUACUACAGUGUAGUACUAUACUAUAUUAUUUUGCUGAGGUUUACCGGUAUGGUGUUUUACAGAAGCACACUUAGUGGUCAGCUGUGACUUAUCGUGUUUCCUAGCAGGAAAUACAAUACCAUCUUAUCUCCCUCUAAUGAGCGUAAAACACAAACUAACAGUUUGCUGCAUGACAAGAAGGUGCAUGCUGCUGGGACGUGACAGAUGAAACCCAACAAGGAGCAGAGGACAGACUGACAUUUGUCAUGUUCUUCAGUAAUCAGGAGCUACAGGAACUGCAUUAAGGCUCGGCUGCCUCCUCCUGUUGGCCCACAUGAACUCCAGCCCAGGCUCCCUGGAGGUAUGAUCAUCC